CCUACGGGGGGCAGCAGUGGGGAAUAUUGGACAAUGGGGGGAACCCUGAUCCAGCCAUGCCGCGUGUGUGAAGAAGGCCCUCGGGUUGUAAAGCACUUUCAGUGAGGAAGAACGCCUGGUGGUUAAUACCCAUCAGGAAAGACAUCACUCACAGAAGAAGCACCGGCUAACUCCGUGCCAGCAGCCGCGGUAAUACGGAGGGUGCGAGCGUUAAUCGGAAUUACUGGGCGUAAAGCGCGCGUAGGUGGCUUGAUAAGCCGGUUGUGAAAGCCCCGGGCUCAACCUGGGAACGGCAUCCGGAACUGUCAAGCUAGAGUGCAGGAGAGGAAGGUAGAAUUCCCGGUGUAGCGGUGAAAUGCGUAGAGAUCGGGAGGAAUACCAGUGGCGAAGGCGGCCUUCUGGACUGACGCUGACACUGAGGUGCGAAAGCGUGGGUAGCAAACAGGAUUAGAUACCCUGGUGGUC
rnacentral:rRNA from 1 species